rnacentral:rRNA from 3 species
UGGGGAAUAUUGGACAAUGGGCGCAAGCCUGAUCCAGCAAUGCCGCGUGAGUGAUGAAGGCCUUAGGGUUGUAAAGCUCUUUCGCACGCGACGAUGAUGACGGUAGCGUGAGAAGAAGCCCCGGCUAACUUCGUGCCAGCAGCCGCGGUAAUACGAAGGGGGCUAGCGUUGUUCGGAAUUACUGGGCGUAAAGGGCGCGUAGGCGGCCUGUUUAGUCAGAAGUGAAAGCCCCGGGCUCAACCUGGGAAUAGCUUUUGAUACUGGCAGGCUUGAGUUCCGGAGAGGAUGGUGGAAUUCCCAGUGUAGAGGUGAAAUUCGUAGAUAUUGGGAAGAACACCGGUGGCGAAGGCGGCCAUCUGGACGGACACUGACGCUGAGGCGCGAAAGCGUGGGGAGCAAACA